UCUGUUUUUCAUGUGAUGCAUAUUAGGAAAAGUAGCACUGAUGGCUCGAUGCUUUCACAUUAGCUACUGAAAUAAAGGCUCACUCUUGGUUAGUCACUGCCAGUUCAUACCCCAUAAGCAUAUAAGUGAAAUUAAGUAUAUUUUUGCCCAUUCACUCAGUUUGGAGCUCUUCACAAUCCUUUUUUUUGUUUUGCUUUAAUGACCCCAAACAAUCCUCUAUUUGAAGGUGCCUUCUAGUGGAGAGUUGUGAGUCCAAGUUUGUUUUGAAGAUAAGGAGCCAUAAAAAGGAAGAGGAGGAAGUUGCCCAUCGGGGCUUAGCAGCACCUGGUCAGCAGAAAGAUAUCUUCCACACCGUGGUGAGAUCUGCUGUAAAAGGUAAAAGGCAC